GACGAACGCUGGCGGCGUGCUUAACACAUGCAAGUCGAACGGAAAGGCCCCUUCUGGGGUACUCGAGUGGCGAACGGGUGAGUAACACGUGGGUAAUCUGCCCUGCACUUCGGGAUAAGCCUGGGAAACUGGGUCUAAUACCGGAUAGGACCAAAAGGCGCAUGCCUUGUGGUGGAAAGCUUUUGCGGUGUGGGAUGGGCCCGCGGCCUAUCAGCUUGUUGGUGGGGUGACGGCCUACCAAGGCGACGACGGGUAGCCGGCCUGAGAGGGUGUCCGGCCACACUGGGACUGAGAUACGGCCCAGACUCCUACGGGAGGCAGCAGUGGGGAAUAUUGCACAAUGGGCGCAAGCCUGAUGCAGCGACGCCGCGUGGGGGAUGACGGCCUUCGGGUUGUAAACCUCUUUCACCAUCGACGAAGGUCCGGGUUUUCUCGGA
rnacentral:rRNA from 1 species